rnacentral:rRNA from 1 species
CAGAGUUCAUGCCCGAAAGGGUAGACCUCCCACCCUUGUGUAUUAUUACUUUGUUGCUUUGGCGAGUCGCCUUCGGGCCUUGAGCUCGAGCUCGAGCGUUACGCGCCCAGAGGUUAUCAAAACUCUGUUUAUCAAUGUCGUCUGAGUAUUAUAUAAUAGUUA